rnacentral:rRNA from 1 species
GACGAACGCUGGCGGCGUGCUUAACACAUGCAAGUCGAACGGAAAGGCCCUGCUUGCAGGGUGCUCGAGUGGCGAACGGGUGAGUAACACGUGGGUGAUCUGCCCCUUACUUUGGGAUAAGCCUGGGAAAUUGGGUCUAAUACUGGAUAGGACCAUGCUGUAGGUGGUGUGGUGGAAAGAUUAGUUUCGGUAAGGGAUGAGCUCGCGGCCUAUCAGCUUGUUGGUGGGGUAAUGGCCUACCAAGGCGUCGACGGGUAGCCGGCCUGAGAGGGUGGACGGCCACAUUGGGACUGAGAUACGGCCCAGACUCCUACGGGAGGCAGCAGUGGGGAAUAUUGCACAAUGGGCGCAAGCCGGAUGCAGCGACGCCGCGUGGGGGAUGACGGCCUUCGGGUUGUAAACUCCUUUCAGCCAUGACGAAGCCCUUGUGGUGACGGUAGUGGUAGAAGAAGCACCGGCUAACUACGUG